AGGGGCCAGAGGGUUAGCAAUGAUGGUGGAAUGUGAUGGACAUCAUUAUCCAAAGUUCACGUAGGAAGACAUGAAUUGGUGUGAAUAUACUUUAUAUAAAACAGAGAUAUGAAAAAUUGUGCUGUAUAUGUGUAAUAAGAAUUGUAAUGCAUUCUGCUCUCAUGUAUUUAAAAAAUAAAAGCAAUUAAAAAUUUAAAUGGGAAAAAAGACUAUAAAAUGAAAAAUGAACAUAAAAAAUGUAGUUACAUACUAAUAUACUACAUAGUUUCUAUUAAAAUGCCCUCCAUUGUUCCCAAAUAUAUAUAUAUAUGUAUAUAUUAGCAAAAAAUA
rnacentral:lncRNA from 1 species